CGUAAUGAAUUACUAUUUCAACCAAAAAAUAUGUUUUUCUGCCCUGGAUGAUCAUAUUUCAUACAAAAUCCUAUCGUUCUCGUAACAUAAUCCAAACAAAAUCACAAAAGAAUACCAAGAACAUUUACUUUCUCACAAAAUCAAUCUAUAUAUUACUUUUCCACGGUAUGAUACAUUAUUCAGUCAAAUUAAUACAUAAUUCACUCGAGCCUUGGACAGAGAACUACUAAACUACCAAAAAAAACUGAUCUCCUAAUUCACUGAUCCUUUCCUCUGACCAAGCUUGUUGUGCUACAAUAUUAUCAUCUUUGCUACAAUAAAAAAAAUCAAUAGUCAUUAGGAUGUAAGACAUGAAAAUUAUGACCAAAAGCUAUAUCAACAUCUUCAGAAUCCUACCCGCUCAUGAGUCAAACACAACCUUUAAUUAUGGGCCUAAAAGUAACCCAUAAUAUGCAAAUUCCAUAAGUCAGAAACUCUCGUCGUUGUUUAUGUCCGUAAUACGUGUUCUAUAUACAAAGAAGAUAGUUAGGCAUGAAAAGAAAUGGAAAGACCAUUGAGUAAUAAACAGAAAGUACGAUUAAAACUUCCAAAACCCAAAUCAGAUUAACCAAAAAAAUAUUAUACGAUACAUAUUGCAUAAACACACAUAUACUUGGUAAAGAUCCCUCCUGCAACCAAACAUACACAACAUUCAAAUGCUGCAAUAGGAUAUCAUUCUCUACAUUGAUCAAACCUGAUACAACUAUCAUGCAAAAACAUAAUCAGCAUUACUUAGUAUAAUUUACCGUCGAACUUCUAAGAGCAGCCACAAGUAAAAUGUUGAUGGGAAAAAAAGAAUUACCUUACCAACAGGUUCAUCAAGGUUUGCAAGCUCCAUAGACGAUUCAAUCAAAAAAAUCUCCUUAACCUACAAUUUAAUGUCACUCAUAAAUGUUAAUACAAUAAGCAUAGAUUGCACACACACUUUAGAGCUUGCACA